CAAUAUUUUCAAUAAUUUUGUGCAUGAAACAAAGUUUCAGUACAUUGAAUCAGCAGAAAGCAAAGGUGUCACUAGCUUAGUCACCUAUAUUCCAUCAUGUCAGUGCUCAAAAAUUUCAGAUUUUGGAGUAUUUGGAUUUUGGAUUUUCCCAUUUGGAGGUGCUCGAUCUGUAUUAUCGUAUCUUCUUGUACUUAUUUGGUCAUUGUUUUUGGACUUUUUAAAAAUAAAAAACCUUUCUAUAAACUUGACUCUGAGAUAGCAAAAGGUAUAAGAAGGCUUAGAUGUGGUGUAUUUUGAGUAAUCAAACUUUUAUUGUUUAUAACCUUUCCGAACAGAAUCAUGUUGAUUUUUCAGAAAAUAGCAAAGUUUUUCGGUCUCAUUAGUACUUUUAUUACCCUUUCUGUCUACAUAUCGGUGACAAGUACUUUUCAGAAGUAUUAAAAAUCAAUAUACAGAUAAAAGAGCUGGCAUAAAAACAAUUUGCUAUUUCCUGUAUUCACUCUGAGGCUGGGACUAUUAAGAUAUGUUUUAAAUAAGGGAGAGUGAAAUACUGGUCUGCAUCAUGAUUUGUCAUCCAUCUUUUUCAAAAAUGAGCUAAAUUUGAAAUGGAACAAGGAAGACCUAAGUCCUCUUCACAAGGCUCCCAGCCCCCCGCCAACUUCUGCACGCAGCCCCAAUUGGUUCAGCUCAACUUUCCCACCCGGCGUCCACCCUCAGGGCCUGGCUGGUGGUCCUGAGUUGCCCAGCAAUCCCAGUUACCCUCUCACAAUUUGGAAAGAGAGUGUUCACUCAGAAAGGGGACAUGCUAGCAUAGAUGAGCAGGGACCACCAAUAUACAGCACAGGCUGUGUCAGCUGAGAAAGAGCAUCCGGGGACAAGGGGAGACCUGGCGGGCUACUGUAAUCUGCCCCUGAGCCACGGUAUGACCACAGCCCAAAGCCCACCCUCAGGAGGGGGGCUGCUCCCACUGUCCAUCAUCAGCCAGCUAACUCUUGCAUUUCAUACCCAUAUUCAGGGGCAGAUAGAGCCCCUGUUGUCAAGAUGUUACAGUCUCAGAGGGAUUGGAACAGAGGCAUAUGUAACCAAUGGAAAUCACGCACAGAUCCAUAAAACUGUUAAAACAGUGCUACCUGCUCCUUGAACACUGGGUCGUAUCUUAAUAAGAAGAGAUGAUGGAUGGCGGGAGGGUAUUAUAGAAAGGCAUGGCAGAGGUGGAGAAAAGGCAAGGUGCCAGCCAGCCAUCUCACAUUAAGGAGGCUUCUGCCCUGGCCUCUCCUUCCAGGCCCUCAUGGGUGACAGCAGGUUCAGAAGAUCUCUGGGUCUGUUUCCCCCUGGGGAAGAAACAUUAGAUUUUUUUUAACAUUAGAGGGCACCCAUGAGCACUAUUCAUCAGAGGGCAGAAACUCAUUGUUCUGUUCAAGUCAUUAUGAAUUAAUUACAUGUAUAUAUGCUUGGUCUGAUGAAAAUGAAAUCACUGAAGUUUGUUUUCCCUCUCUUCUCUUUUUUUUUUUUUUUUUUUUUUUUUUUUUUUUUGUU
rnacentral:lncRNA from 1 species